rnacentral:rRNA from 1 species
GCAAGUUGUUAAGUGCGAUCGGUGGAUGCCUUGGCACCAAGAGCCGAUGAAGGACGUUGUAACCUGCGAUAAGCCCUGGGGAGUUGGUAAACGAGCUGUGAUCCGGGGGUGUCCGAAUGGGGAAACCUGGAAUGUCCGGAGUAGUGUCCGGUGACCCUGCCCUGAAUGUAUAGGGGUGUGGGAGGUAACGCGGGGAAGUGAAACAUCUUAGUACCCGUAGGAAGAGAAAACAACCGUGAUUCCGUGAGUAGUGGCGAGCGAAAGUGGAUGAGGCUAAACCGUGUGUGUGUUCAAGCCGGCAGGUGUUGCAUGUGCGGGGUUGUGGGGGCCUUUGGGUUCUGCUGCCGCAGGAUUGGCCAGUGAUAAAUGUUGCGUGAAGGUGAAGCGUCUGGGAAGGCGUACCGGAGUGGGUGAGAGUCCCGUAACUGUAAGCGUGGCACUGGUGAGGGUUACCCCAAGUAGCGUGGAACUCGUGGAAUUUCGCGUGAAUCUGGCGGGACCACCCGUCAAGCCUAAAUACUCCUUGGUGACCGAUAGUGGAUCAGUACCGUGAGGGAAUGGUGAAAAGUACCCCGGGAGGGGAGUGAAAUAGUACCUGAAACCGGUCGCAUACAAGCCGUCAGAGCCUUGUGGGGUGAUGGCGUGCCUUUUGAAGAAUGAGCCUGCGAGUUAGUGAUGCGUGGCGAGGUUAACCUGUGUGGGGGAGUCGUAGCGAAAGCGAGUCCGAUAAGGGCGUGAGUCGCGUGUUCUAGACCCGAAGCGGUGUGAUCUAUCCAUGGCCAGGAUGAAGCGUCGGUAAGACGUCGUGGAGGUCCGAACCCACUUCAGUUGAAAAUGGAGGGGAUGAGCUGUGGAUAGGGGUGAAAGGCCAAUCAAACACCGUGAUAGCUGGUUCUCCCCGAAAUGCAUUUAGGUGCAGCGUUGCGUGGUUCUUGUCGGAGGUAGAGCACUGGAUGGUCUAGGGGGCCUAUCAGCUUACCGAAAUCAGCCAAACUCCGAAUGCCGGCAAGUGGAGCGUAGCAGUGAGACGGCGGGGGAUAAGCUUCGUCGUCGAGAGGGAAACAGCCCAGAUCAUCAGCUAAGGCCCCUAAGUGGUAACUCAGUGGAAAAGGAUGUGGAGUUGCGCAGACAGCCAGGAGGUUGGCUUGGAAGCAGCCAUCCUUGAAAGAGUGCGUAAUAGCUCACUGGUCAAGUGAUUCCGCGCCGACAAUGUAGCGGGGCUUAAGUUAUCCGCCGAAGCUGUGGCAAGCCCGUGAGGGUUUGGGUAGGGGAGCGUCCUGUGCGAGGUGAAGCUGCCGGGUGACCGUGUGGUGGAUUGUGCGGGAGUGAGAAUGCAGGCAUGAGUAGCGAAUGACGGGUGGAAAACCCGUCCGCCGAUUAUCCAAGGGUUCCAGGGUCAAGUUAAUCUGCCCUGGGUGAGUCGGGACCUAAGGCGAGGCCGACAGGCGUAGUCGAUGGAUAACCAGUUGAUAUUCUGGUACCGGCUUGUCACCGUCCGUGUCGAGGUGUGUGAUGCUAAGCGUGCGAGCCUGCCUCCGCGACAUCGUUGAUGUGGUGGUGGUGUGGUGAGUGUGUGAACCGAUCAUGUAGUAGGCAAGCUGCGGAGGGACGCAGGGAGGUAGCUCAUCCCCGGCGAUGGUUGUCCGGGGCUAAAUGUGUGGACCGUCUGGUAGGUAAAUCCGCCAGGGUUGUGGUUGAGGCAUGAUGGCGAGCCCACAGGAAGUGGGUGAGUGAGUGAUCCUGUACUGUCGAGAAAAUCUUCGUGAGCGAGGUGGCUGGUCCGCCCGUACCCUAAACCGACACUGGUGGAUAGGUAGAGUAUACCGAGGCGAUCGAGAUCAUCAUGGUGAAGGAACUCGGCAAAAUGCCCCCGUAACUUCGGGAUAAGGGGGACCUGAACUGUCAAGGCUUUUACAGUUGGUAGCGGUGAGGGGCGCAGAGACCAGGGGGAAACGACUGUUUACCAAAAACACAGGUCCGUGCGAAGUCGUAAGACGAUGUAUACGGACUGACUCCUGCCCGGUGCUGGAAGGUUAAGGGGAACUGUUAGCGUUGGCGAAGCGGUGAACUUAAGCCCCAGUAAACGGCGGUGGUAACUAUAACCAUCCUAAGGUAGCGAAAUUCCUUGUCGGGUAAGUUCCGACCUGCACGAAUGG